rnacentral:rRNA from 1 species
UACAGGGGGCGCGAGCGUUGCUCGGAAUCACUGGGCGUAAAGCGUACGCAGGCGGACUGUUAAGUCGGGUGUGAAAGCCCGGGGCUCAACCCCGGAAUUGCAUUCGAAACUGGCAGUCUUGAGUACGGAAGAGGGGAGUGGAAUUCCUGGUGUAGAGGUGAAAUUCGUAGAUAUCAGGAGGAACACCGGUGGCGAAAGCGGCUCCCUGGUCCGAUACUGACGCUCAUGUACGAAAGCGUGGGGAGCAAACAGG